rnacentral:rRNA from 1 species
UGGAGGGCAAGUCUGGUGCCAGCAGCCGCGGUAAUUCCAGCUCCAAUAGCGUAUAUUAAAGUUGUUGCAGUUAAAAAGCUCGUAGUUGAAUUUCGGGAUUUGUCAGUUGGUCGGGCUUCACUGUCCGUAUUGACUUGAUGGAUUCUUACCUUCUGAAUAACCAGCAUGCUAUUAAGUUAGUGCGUUGGGGAAGCAGAUCUAUUACCUUGAAAAAAUUAGAGUGCUUAAAGCGAGCUAGUGCUUGAAUAGAUUAGCAUGGAAUAAUAAAAUAGGACGGCAUGGUUCUAUUUUGUUGGUUUCUAGGAUCACCGUAAUGAUUAAUAGGGAUAGUUGGGGGCAUUAGUAUUCAAUUGUCAGAGGUGAAAUUCUUGGAUUUAUUGAAGACUAACUUCUGCGAAAGCAUUUGCCAAGGAUGUUUUCAUUAAUCAAGAACGAAAGUUAGGGGAUCGAAGACGAUCAGAUACCGUCGUAGUCUUAACCAUAAACUAUGCCGACUAGGAAUCGGACGAUGUUAAUUUUAUAAUGACUCGUUCGGCACCUUACGGGAAAC